GUAAUGACCAGCAGCUACCAUUUCUUCUAUUCUUUUCUGAGUCUGCAAUUAAGGAUGGAGUUAGGCUUGAUUGAUUUUGGUACCAUAUUCCUUCCCUUUAUUUUUGUGAAUUAUUUCCUUAUCAUAUUCAUCUAUAGCUCGUGCAUAUAUACACCUGUACGUGUUAUGUUGAUCAAUGAUGGUAAAAUAUAUCAUUCUCUCAUUAUUUUUCUCAAUUUAUUUAUCAGAAAUAUUCAAUAUUUUAAUUCAACAAGAGAGGACAUGCAAAGUAUCCACCAAUGUCAUAAAUGCCGAAGGGACAGAAAAAUGGAAAAUACUCAAAAUAGCAUAAUUUAUCUAUUCCCAGGAUGUCAUCAAAUGCCUUCACCAUUGUUGGAUUACUCUAACAUGUAUGGUUUUAGCAAAUAACUGAAUCGGCAGAAUUAUGUAAAUCACCUG
rnacentral:lncRNA from 1 species